rnacentral:rRNA from 1 species
UACAGAGGGUGCGAGCGUUAAUCGGAAUUACUGGGCGUAAAGCGUGCGUAGACGGUUAUUUAAGUCAGAUGUGAAAGCCCCGGGCUCAACCUGGGAAUUGCAUUUGAGACUGAAUAGCUAGGGUGCGGUAGAGGGAAGCGGAAUUUCCGGUGUAGCGGUGAAAUGCGUAGAUAUCGGAAGGAACAUCAGUGGCGAAAGCGGCUUCCUGGACCAGCACCGACGUUCAGGCACGAAAGCGUGGGGAGCAAACAG